GUAGAUUUAGGUUAAAUUUUUAAACUAUUAGUUUUCAAAACUAAUGAUUUAUUCUAUU
rnacentral:tRNA from 2 species